rnacentral:lncRNA from 1 species
AUUCAGUCUAUAUCUCCAGUCCUUGGUUACCACCCCCACCCCCCGACCCACUCAACUCGGAAGCCUUUCGGUUCAGCCCUAGAGUUAGAAAUAUCUUUGACCUGCAUGCUUGGAAUUAAAGCUGAUCGAAUGCGUGGAGAGCUCUCUUAUGGGACGAGAAAGAGGGAAUGAAAGUGCACAGUGGGAGUAGCGGGAUUCUGGAGUGCAGGCGGCCCAUAGCCCCAGGAAAGGAGCUCGGCGCCUUUAAAGGGAGCGGCGAAGAGCUCCCGCCAGGAGGCGUGUCAGACUUAUCUACCACCUCUGCUGCUGCUGCUGUUGCUGCCACCGCCGCUGAAGAAGUGGCUGCCGGCACUGGGGCCGCCCUCACUGGCACUGUGAGUUCCGAGUGCACCUCAGUCCCGGAUCCCGGACCUCCGCAGCUCCUCUACUUCCUAGACAGCCUCUUUCAGGCUGUUCUGGACUGCUCCUCCCCUCGCUCCCAGGGCCAACCUCUCCCCACCCCUCUGCCCUCCCGCCCACCUCUCCAGAAGAGAAAGGCUUACCCGGCUGGACAUUGUGUGUGUGUGUUUUGGAUUUCUCAAGGAUUCUCCCUGACUAACAUGGAUGUCCCACCAUUCCUUGCAGUUGAAGGUUGCUCCUUGGCGCAGUGAGUGAAGAACAUGCAGGGACUGCUAAUGGGUUUGGGCAGCGUAGACUCGCUCCUCUCUCUGUGACCAUGCCGUGAUCGUGUCUGAGGGCCAUCAGUCUACGUAUUCUCAUUCUUACCCUACCGGGGAGCCUGACGCUAAAAGGGGGAAGUAGGUGCAGCGCGUGUGUGCAUAGAAACACCAUGAAGAUUAUUUCCCCGAUUCUAAGUAACCCAGUCUUCAGGUGCACCAUUAGACUCCUUCUCUGCUUACUGUGGAUUGGAUAUUCUCAAGGAACCACACAUGUAUUAAGAUUUGGUAAGAUUUCCCAUCCCUGUUUGUUGUACGUUAGCAAAAGCUCCGCUGUAGCAACCCAAUGUAAAUACGCAUGUUUAUUUCUGAAAGGGGGCUCUCCUAGAUCUGUUAGAUGUCCCCCAGCCUCUGGAGACGUACACUGAACCCGGUCUUCCUCCUCAAUCCGGACCCUAACGCCUGAACCCCAGGCAGCAGUAUUAAGGGACUGUAUAUGUAUGUGUUGGGGCAGUAAUAUCUCAAAAAUGAUGAUAAUUGUGGGGAAAGUGACUGGCAGCUUUGCCUGCCUGAGCCCCUUAGGUCUCUGUCUGCAGAGCGAUCAGCGCUCAUGUUGAUUCCUUGUACUGGGCGCUUAUUUCCACAGCGGUGGAAAGCCGAGUUCUGUUAGUGGCUGAUUAGUUAAAAUUUGGCAACUAGUUGGUAGGUUCCCACUGUCUGUUUCCCCACGUUCCUCGCUAAGAACUUGGAAUGCCCCGGGAAGAAUCACAUAACACAUCGGAAAGAACAUUAGGCUAUAGGUUUUUCCCUCCCUUUCUUUCUUGGAAACAAAACCUUUGUAUUCCUUUAUUGAGAUUUCAAGUCUCAGGCUUGCUAACAGGGAGGAGCAUGAUUUAAACAGAAAUACUUUAAACGUUGAAAGUUGAGCUUUUGUAAUGAAUCAGUGUGAACCGCCCCUGUUAAGUGAACUGAGGGGUGUAUGUGUGUGUGUAUGUUACUUUUUCUUUUUUUUUUUUACUCCCGCAUCACCAGCCCACCCCACUCCAAUAGCAUUUAAUAAGGAGAAAUAACGUUAUAAUGCUUGCACCCUAACUCCACAUAGGGGCCUCAAAAACAAUGGAGAAGUGAAUAAAGAUUACAGGGAAUCCCA